rnacentral:rRNA from 1 species
UAGGGAAUCUUCGGCAAUGGACGGAAGUCUGACCGAGCAACGCCGCGUGAGUGAAGAAGGUUUUCGGAUCGUAAAGCUCUGUUGUAAGAGAAGAACGAGUGUGAGAGUGGAAAGUUCACACUGUGACGGUAUCUUACCAGAAAGGGACGGCUAACUACGUGCCAGCAGCCGCGGUAAUACGUAGGUCCCGAGCGUUGUCCGGAUUUAUUGGGCGUAAAGCGAGCGCAGGCGGUUAGAUAAGUCUGAAGUUAAAGGCUGUGGCUUAACCAUAGUACGCUUUGGAAACUGUUUAACUUGAGUGCAAGAGGGGAGAGUGGAAUUCCAUGUGUAGCGGUGAAAUGCGUAGAUAUAUGGAGGAACACCGGUGGCGAAAGCGGCUCUCUGGCUUGUAACUGACGCUGAGGCUCGAAAGCGUGGGGAGCAAACAGGAUUAGAUACCCUGGUAGUCCACGCCGUAACGAUGAGUGCUAAGUGUUAGACCCUUUCCGGGGUUUAGUGCCGUAGCUAACGCAUUAAGCACUCCGCCUGGGGAGUACGACCGCAAGGUUG